CCUGGAUCAGUGUCCUGGGGUUUCCCUACAGCCAGCCCAAAACCUACCCAGUGACACAGUUGGGUAAGCAUGGUCAAACUUUCCAUGUCCUGUGUCCUGCCUCCCCGAAUGGCCCAGAUAGAGGACCCCAUUAACUCUAUAACCACAUUGCAAAAAACAAAAACAAAACCAAAAAACCAAAAACAAAAAACAAAACAAAGCCAAUCAGUUAGACAUGCAGUUCUUUAAGGUUACUAGAGUAAGAAUUCCUGAAAAAAAAAAAGCUGUUUCUACAAAGGUUGACAGAUUAAAUUUCAAUGUCUAAUAGUUUAGACUAUUCUAGGUCCAGAACUCCCCCAAAAAACACUUCUAUGUCAUCCACUUAACACUCUGAUAAGCAGAUAAAACCCUUAAAAAUAUUAAAACAAAA
rnacentral:lncRNA from 1 species